rnacentral:rRNA from 2 species
AGACCCGAAACCCGGUGAUCUAGCCAUGGGCAGGUUGAAGGUUGGGUAACACUAACUGGAGGACCGAACCGACUAAUGUUGAAAAAUUAGCGGAUGACCUGUGGCUGGGGGUGAAAGGCCAAUCAAACCGGGAGAUAGCUGGUUCUCCCCGAAAGCUAUUUAGGUAGCGCCUCGUGAAUUCAUCUCCGGGGGUAGAGCACUGUUUCGGCUAGGGGGCCAUCCCGGCUUACCAACCCGAUGCAAACUGCGAAUACCGGAGAAUGUUAUCACGGGAGACACACGGCGGGUGCUAACGUCCGUCGUGAAGAGGGAAACAACCCAGACCGCCAGCUAAGGUCCCAAAGUCAUGGUUAAGUGGGAAACGAUGUGGGAAGGCCCAGACAGCCAGGAUGUUGGCUUAGAAGCAGCCAUCAUUUAAAGAAAGCGUAAUAGCUCACUGGUCGAGUCGGCCUGCGCGGAAGAUGUAACGGGGCUAAACCAUGCACCGAAGCUGCGGCAGCGAACGUAUCACCCAAGACAACUUUGCGGAGUUGACGAUUGACGGAGCGAAGCGACGUCAAAGCGUUCAUUAAAGUCGAGUUGGCUUAGGGAUACGUUCGUU